rnacentral:tRNA from 1 species
UCCCUGGUGGUCUAGGGACUAGGACUUGGCACUUUCACUGCAGUGGCCUGGGUUCGAUCCCUGGUUAGGGAA